rnacentral:rRNA from 1 species
GACAGAGGGUGCAAACGUUGUUCGGAAUUACUGGGCGUAAAGCGUGUGUAGGCGGCCAUGUAAGUCGGAUGUGAAAGCCCCGGGCUCAACCCGGGAAGUGCACUCGAUACUGCGUGGCUUGAGUACCGGAGAGGUUGGUGGAAUUCUCGGUGUAGAGGUGAAAUUCGUAGAUAUCGAGAGGAACACCGGUGGCGAAGGCGGCCAACUGGACGAAUACUGACGCUGAGACUCGAAAGCGUGGGGAGCAAACAGG